GUCCUUAUAGUUCAAUGGAUAGAACAAGGUCCUCCUAAGACUUAGAUGAAGGUUCGAUUCCUUCUAAGGACGCCA
rnacentral:tRNA from 1 species